UUUUUUUUAGACAAGAAAAAAAAAAUUAUUAUGGCAAAUAAUUAGGACUCGAAAAAUGCCAUAGAAACAGAUUAUAUUAAAGGAGCAGGAAGAAGAGAAUAGCCAAAACAAGAUGAUAAAUUACAAAAUCAUUUAAGGACGUUGAACCUAAUUCCUUUUACCCCGGUUUUUCCUUGAUGAAACAACCGUCCAUCCAUCUUCUCCUUGAGCCUCCUGGCCAUUGGGAUCAUCAACCUGCAUGUUCACCUGAUUUGAUUUCGACUGAAAUUUUGGUGCAUCAACUAUCAUUCUUGAUCUAUCAUCCAUCCUAUCAUCAUUGUCAUCGUCGUCGUCGUCGUCAUCAUCAUCAUCAUCGUUAUCUGCCGCCUGUCUAACAUGUUGAUGAGAUCCAGUUGAAGGACCUGCUCGCCUCAACUUUUCAAUAGAGGUUAUAGUUACCUUCCAAACACUCUUCAUGCAUGAUCAUUAAUUUUUCCGCUACCUCUUCAAUGCUGCCAUCCUCGAUCAUGGUAUUGAGAGAAAGCAUACCCUCAUCCAAGAUACUUUCUAAAUCAUCAAUGUAAUGCGGUUCUUUGGACUGAGUGAACCAGGAGAAUAUAUUGGAGCGAAGCUGAUCAGCUAAUUGUGCAGAACCACGGCCACCCCACUCGUUCCCAACGGCUAAUUGCAGAGCCGACCAUCUGGAGAGAACAAGAAAUAUGCCUUCUUGGAAUAGAGGCAGUGAAUCUGCAGAUAGAUGCUUUAUGGGUCCAUUAUCUUCGCCGCCGCCGUUCAUGCUGCUGCUGAUUUCGAUUCAAAAUACAGUGUGCCUCUACGCUUUUGAGUUUUGCCUGUGUAAAUCUACAAAUAGGCGAACUAAGU
rnacentral:misc_RNA from 1 species